GACGAACGCUGGCGGCGUGCUUAACACAUGCAAGUCGAACGAAGAGCGACGGAAGCUUGCUUCUAUCAAUCUUAGUGGCGCACGGGUGAGUAACGCGUAAUCAACCUGCCCUUCAGAGGGGGACCACAGUUGGAAACGACUGCUAAUACCGCAUACGAUCUAAUCUCGGCAUCGAGGAUGGAUGAAAGGUGGCCUCUACAUGUAAGCUAUCACUGCAGGAGGGGAUUGCGUCUGAUUAGCUAGUUGGAGGGGUAACGGCCCACCAAGGCGAUGAUCAGUAGCCGGUCUGAGAGGAUGAACGGCCACAUUGGGACUGAGACACGGCCCAGACUCCUACGGGAGGCAGCAGUGGGGAAUCUUCCGCAAUGGACGAAAGUCUGACGGAGCAACGCCGCGUGAGGGAUGACGGCCUUCGGGUUGGAAAGCUCUGUUAAUCGGGACGAAAGGCCUUCUUGCGAAUAGUGAGAAGGAUUGACGGUACCGGAAUAGAAAGCCACGGCUAACUACGUG
rnacentral:rRNA from 1 species